rnacentral:lncRNA from 1 species
CUGUGGGAUAUCCUGGCCUCAUGGACUCACCAGAUGGCGGUAGCUGCAGAUAUGACCCCAGUCAAGGUUAUCAGAAGACCUCCCAACAGUUCUUGGUCCACUUUGGUCCACUUUGCUGAAUGUGGGAUUGGACCGCGUUGCAUGGUCCUGAAAGAACGAACUCACGCCAUCUGGUUUGAUUCAGCUGCACGUUUAGCUCCCAGAUCAGACCCUACAUCUGUAUGUCUAAAUAUGGACGUGCUCCUCCGCCCAGAAGCCUAUCCAAGUCAGAUAAUUGCUCAUUUUCAUGGAGAACUCCAGGUCCCUCUUCAAGUGAUCAAUGAACCCUGUAAGCUUCAAGUGUUGUCUGCCCAUGUCAUCUGCUUCUCUGGAAGCUACACCAUAUCCUCUCAGGGAAGCAAGCUUCAUCUGUUUGUUGAGACAGGAUCUCUGUAGUCCAGGAAGAGCUCAACCGCACUGUAUAACUGAGCACGACUUUGGGUGCCAAUUGUCUAAGUGUUUGCUACUGCACCCAGCUUUGUGUGAUGCUGGAGAUUGAACCCAAGGCCAGAUAUGUGCUCUACCAACUACAUCCACAUGCCCAGCUAUGCUCGUUUUUAACUGAGAAGCUGCAGGUUACAAGUAAGUCUUUUGUUUUUAUUUGUCAUCAAGGCAAAUAUUCAUGGCACUCACCGUCCCUCUGCUUAUAACUUGUUUGGCUGUGCAUUGUUGGUAAAGCCUACUGCAGUUGCGAGAGUGCUGUGUGCACACAAGGGUAGCUCCUGACAGCGUCUGACACGUGUCAAGCAAAAUCUCCUUUAAGACAAGAUCAUUUGUGUUUGUACUUCAUGCCCCUUUGUUUUCAAUCUUGCUCACUUUGUAAAACAAUUUUUUCU